rnacentral:tRNA from 5 species
GGGCGUGUAGCUCAGUUGGUUAGAGCACGUCACUGAUAAUGACGGGGUCCGUGGUUCGAGUCCACGCACGCCCACAA